CGGGACGGGUGAGUAAUGUCUGGGAAACUGCCUGAUGGAGGGGGGUAACUACUGGAAACGGUAGCUAAUACCGCAUAACGUCUUCGGACCAAAGUGGGGGACCUUCGGGCCUCACGCCAUCGGAUGUGCCCAGAUGGGAUUAGCUAGUAGGUGGGGUAAUGGCUCACCUAGGCGACGAUCCCUAGCUGGUCUGAGAGGGUGACCAGCCACACUGGAACUGAGACACGGUCCAG
rnacentral:rRNA from 1 species